rnacentral:rRNA from 1 species
UGCGGAGGAUGCAAGCGUUAUCCGGAUUCAUUGGGUUUAAAGAGUGCGUAGGUGGUCUUGUAAGCGUGGGGUGAAAGGCAGUGGCUUAACCAUUGUUAGCCUUGCGAACUGUGAGACUUGAGUGCAGGAGAGGAAAGUGGAAUUCCUAGUGUAGCGGUGAAAUGCGUAGAUAUUAGGAGGAACAUCAGUGGCGAAGGCGACUUUCUGGACUGUAACUGACACUGAGGCACGAAAGCGUGGGGAGCAAACAGGAUUAGAUACCCUGGUAGUCCACGCCGUAAACGAUGAGUACUAGGUGUCGGGGUUUAAAGACUUCGGUGCCGCAGUUAACGCAUUAAGUACUCCGCCUGGGGAGUACGCACGCAAGUGUGAA